AUUAUGGAGAGUUUGAUCCUGGCUCAGGACGAACGCUGGCGGCGUGCCUAAUACAUGCAAGUCGAGCGGGUUUGUCCUUCGGGACAAGCUAGCGGCGGACGGGUGAGUAACACGUAGGCAACCUGCCUUUAAGACUGGGAUAACUAUCGGAAACGAUAGCUAAGACCGGAUAACUGGUUU
rnacentral:rRNA from 1 species